rnacentral:rRNA from 1 species
ACGGCUCAGUAACACGUAGUCAAUCUACCCUGUGGACGGGAAUAACCUCGGGAAACUGAGAAUAAUGCCCGAUAGAACAUUAUGCCUGGAAUGGUUUAUGUUUCAAAUGAUUUAUCGCCAUAGGAUGGGACUGCGGCCUAUCAGUUUGUUGGUGAGGUAAUGGCCCACCAAGACUAUUACAGGUACGGGCUCUGAGAGGAGUAGCCCGGAGAUGGGUACUGAGACACGGACCCAGGCCCUAUGGGGCGCAGCAGGCGAGAAAACUUUGCAAUGUGCGAAAGCACGACAAGAUUAAUCCGAGUGGUUUCUGCUAAAGAAACCUUUUGUCAGUCCUAGAAACACUAACGAAUAAGGGGUGGGCAAGUUCUGGUGUCAGCCGCCGCGGUAAAACCAGCACCUCAAGUGGUCAGGAUGAUUAUUGGGCCUAAAGCAUCCGUAGCCCGUUUUGUAAGUUUUCGGUUAAAUCCAUGCGCUUAACGUAUGGGCUGCCGGGAAUACUGCAUAACUAGGAAGUGGGAGAGGUAGACGGUACUCGGUAGGAAGGGGUAAAAUCCUUUGAUCUAUUGAUGACCACCUGUGGCGAAGGCGGUCUACCAGAACACGUUCGACGGUGAGGGAUGAAAGCUGGGGGAGCAAACCGGAUUAGAUACCCGGGUAGUCCCAGCUGUAAACUAUGCAAACUCAGUGAUGCAUUGGCUUAUGGCCAAUGCAGUGCUGCAGGGAAGCCGUUAAGUUUGCCGCCUGGGAAGUACGUACGCAAGUAUGAAACUUAAAGGAAUUGGCGGGGGAGCAC